rfam:Picea glauca, whole genome shotgun sequence.
GCAACGGUGUCUUUAGACACCACCACUAAUCUCUGAUCCAUUCUC